rnacentral:rRNA from 1 species
AUUGAACGCUGGCGGCAUGCUUUACACAUGCAAGUCGGACGAGUGGCGAACGGGUGAGUAACGCAUCGGAACGUACCGAGUAAUGGGGGAUAACUGUCCGAAAGGACAGCUAAUACCGCAUACUUACCGAUGAGCCUUGGUCGGUUUAGGUAGUUGGUGGGGUAAAGGCCUACCAAGGCGACGAUCCGUAACUGGUCUGAGAGGAUGAUCAGUCAACCUGGACCUGAGACACGGUCCAGACUCCUACGGGAGGCAGCAGUGGGGAAUCUUCCGCAAUGGACGAAAGUCUGACGGAGCAACGCCGCGUGAGUGAUGACGGCCUUCGGGUUGUAAAGCUCUGUUAAUCGGGACGCGGUACCGGAAUAGAAAGCCACGGCUAACUACGUGCCAGCAGCCGCGGUAAUAC